GCGGACGUGGCUCAGCGGUAGAGCAUCGCCUUGCCAAGGCGAGGGUCGCGGGUUCGAUUCCCAUCACCCGCUCCA
rnacentral:tRNA from 1 species